GCGGGCGGGCGGGCGGCGCCGCUGAGGCCGCUGCGCGAGGGGAGAGAGGAGGAGGAGGAGGCCAGGAGCGGUGGCGGUUCCAUGGUGGCUCUCCCGCCUGAGGUAGAGCUUUGUGGAAUGGAAGAUGGAAGACAAAGGGGCUCGUGUUGCUGACUAUUUUGUCGUGGCGGGGCUGACUGAUAUUUCCAAACCACUGGAGGAGAAAAUCCACUUCAACGAUGCUUGUCAUAAACUUGCAAAACCAAAAGAGCCAAUCACAGAUGUGGUGGUAGUCAUUAAAUCUCUGGGAGAGGAGGUACCCCAUGGAUACAAAUGUUUAGACACCACCCCAUCGGGACUGUCCGCAGAUCUCAACAACGGCAGCCUUGUGGGGCCACAAAUACACCUUUGCUACAGAAGGGGAAGAGACAAGCCCCCACUCACGGAUCUGGGGUGAGUAGUUUUUAUAAUGGGAAG